rnacentral:rRNA from 1 species
UACGGAGGGUGCGAGCGUUGUCCGGAAUCACUGGGCGUAAAGGGCGCGUAGGUGGCUUGGCAAGCGUGUGGUGAAAGCCCGGGGCUCAACCCCGGGUCUGCCGUGCGAACUGCUAUGGCUUGAGCACUGUAGAGGCAGGUAGAAUUCCGGGGUGUAGCGGUGGAAUGCGUAGGAGAUCCGGAAGAAUACCGGUGGCGAAGGCGGCCUGCUGGGCAGUGGCUGACACUGAGGCGCGACAGCGUGGGGAG